rnacentral:tRNA from 1 species
GGAAGUGUGGCUGAGAGGCUUAAGGCACCAGUUUGCUAAACUGGCGAGUGAAUAAAGUAGCUCCGCAGGUUCAAAUCCUGUCACUUCCGC